CCUCCCCUGCUUGCUGGACCUGGUUUUAGAGGAGGGGCUGGGAACUGGGUGACCCUCUUUUGACAGAGCCCUGUUUGGGAGCAUGCUGAGGUUCCACACGGUAGUGCUAACCCCGCCUUCGGACCUCAAGUCCUUCUGAGGGGGAGACCAGAUCUAACACAUUCAAAGGAAAACACUUAUAAUCCGCGGAUUCUCUAAGGGAAUUAUGGCCAGCAGUCUCCUUUACCUGCAUCACACUCGGUUGAGCUGCCUUCCACAAAAUGAGCCCCUUGUGGGCAAGCACAGGUGUAUCCCCCAGGUCUCAGCAAGCAGAGGUGGCUGCAGACAUCUUUGCAAGGAUUGGACACUGUAAGGGUAACCAACAAAGCAAAUGAAUAUCUUCUAUGGACUUCCCCUCUUUCUUUCGAUAUCCAGUACAAGUGGCCUUCAAAGACAUCAAGACUAUACGGACUGCUUGCUUCUCGGUUAAAGAAAAAUGUUAAACAAGUUAACAAGUCAAUAGCUAGCACUGUUGGGUUGACAGCAAUUGCUGCUGGUUCGUCCAGAAGAGAGUAGAUGAGCCACUUCCUGUACCUUCCAUCAAGCUUUGCUACUUCUACUCGAUUUGUCCCAGCAUCAGUCCAGUAAAGAUGCCUAGUUUAGA